CGUCUUCGGACGGGAGUGGCAGACGGGUGAGUAACACGUGGGAACGUACCCUUUGGUUCGGAAUAACUUGAGGAAACUUGAGCUAAUACCGGAUACGCCCUUUUGGGGAAAGGCUUGACUGCCGAAGGAUCGGCCCGCGUCUGAUUAGCUAGUUGGUGAGGUAACGGCUCACCAAGGCGACGAUCAGUAGCUGGUCUGAGAGGAUGAUCAGCCACACUGGGACUGAGACACGGCCCAG
rnacentral:rRNA from 1 species